ACCCCUAGUUGGGCCAGCGUUCUCGCGGCGGACCCGUCACCAAAGUCGCAGGCUGGAGGGCAGGACGCGUGCUAGGCUUAAAACCCGUACCUCACGUCGGGGAAGGUACCCAGGUAGCUGGGCCACCCUCACACCCUGUCAGAAAAGUUGUCUCCGUGGCCUGGCCUUAGGAAGACUCCUCAGAUUUCCUUUAGUUACCUCGCGUCUCAGCCUUGACCAGACAGAGCCUGCCAGGGAGUCUGGAAGAGAAAGGUUUACAUCUUUGUUGAACAACACUGCUCUAGAAUCAUAAUGGUCCUAGCCUGCAGGCACUAGAAGAAACAGUUGCUGGGAUGGAAAACUGGGAGAAAGACAACAUAAUUGCACAAACUUGAGCCUGGGAUUGCCCAAGACUCAGCAGAAGGAAUCCGAAGGUAUAUGUACUUAUAGUCAGAAAGUUUCAGCAAAGAAAACAGGGGUGGGAAGUGACAGAAAAACCAAGACAGAAAACUCUUAAGUGCCAAUAGUAAACGCUUGUAUUAUGGAAAUGUAUGAAGUGGAAUGCAGUUGGUAUGUCAGAUGCCAGAUGAGUAGCCAAAGGGAUAUGGUGCUUCCAGCAGCAAAUUAAGAGGGAUAGGGAGGGGUAAAUGAGAGGAAAAUACCAUUGUAAAUGGGUAACAUAAACAGAAUUAGUUUGUUGGUGUCUUGUAUAAUUUUUUUUUAGAUUCUAAUAGAUGCUUGUUCCAGCAAGUGAAACAAUACAAUGCAAAGAUUAAAGGCAAAGCCUCCCCUGCAUGAGGUUCUGGGGCCGGCCAAGUGGCGCGAUGGUUAAGAAC